CCUACGGGGGGCAGCAGUGGGGAAUAUUGGACAAUGGGGGCAACCCUGAUCCAGCCAUGCCGCGUGUGUGAAGAAGGCCCUCGGGUUGUAAAGCACUUUCAGUGAGGAAGAACGCCUGGUGGUUAAUACCCAUCAGGAAAGACAUCACUCACAGAAGAAGCACCGGCUAACUCCGUGCCAGCAGCCGCGGUAAUACGGAGGGUGCGAGCGUUAAUCGGAAUUACUGGGCGUAAAGCGCGCGUAGGUGGCUUGAUAAGCCGGUUGUGAAAGCCCCGGGCUCAACCUGGGAACGGCAUCCGGAACUGUCAAGCUAGAGUGCAGGAGAGGAAGGUAGAAUUCCCGGUGUAGCGGUGAAAUGCGUAGCGAUCGGGAGGAAUACCAGUGGCGAAGGCGGCCUUCUGGACUGACACUGACACUGAGGUGCGAAAGCGUGGGUAGCAAACAGGAUUAGAUACCCCAGUAGUC
rnacentral:rRNA from 1 species